rnacentral:rRNA from 1 species
CUAGGCAUAAACUUCGGUUGCUCCCAUACCUACAACCCGCCAGAGAACUACAAGUGAAAAACUUAAAACUCUAAGGACUUGACGGUGUCCCACCCGCACUAGAGGAGCCUGUCCCAUAAUCGAUGCCCCACGCUUUACCUCACCCCCCCUUGCCAAUCCAACCUAUAUACCGCCGUCGCCAGUCCACGCUGUGAACACACCGCC